rnacentral:sRNA from 1 species
UAAUGGCGUUAGUGAAGUAAUUACAAUUUUGCGAUUCUUCGCGAAUUAGUUGAAGAAGACGAAAGACGAGUGCAACUUGUAGAAGCCUACAAAGUUUAAAACCCAUAAUUUGAUGGGGUCAAAAAGUAGAACAUAUCAAUGAAAUUUU